AUUGAACGCUGGCGGCAGGCCUAACACAUGCAAGUCGAGCGAGCGGCGGACGGGUGAGUACUGUCUGCGGACUGCCCGAUAGAGGGGGAUAACUACUGGAAACGGUCGCUAAUACCGCAUACUAUCGGAUAACCCAUAUGGGAUUAGCUAGUAGGUGAGUUAAUGGCCCACCUAGGCGACGAUCCCUAGCUGGUCUGAGAGGAUGAUCAGCCACACUGGGACUGAGACACGGCCCAGACUCCUACGGAGGAAGCAGUGGGGAAGAUUGCAAAAGGGGCGCAAGCCUGAUGCAGCCAUGCCGCGUGUAUGAAGAAGGCCCUAGGGUUGUAAAGUACUUUCAGUCGGGAGGCGUUACCGACAGAAGAGUCACCGGCUAAGUCCGUGCCAGCGGCCGCGGUAAUAC
rnacentral:rRNA from 1 species